rnacentral:rRNA from 1 species
GUGCCAGCCGCCGCGGUAACACCGGCAGCUCAAGUGGUAGCCGCUUUUAUUGGGCCUAAAGCGUCCGUAGCCGGUCUGAUAAGUCUCUGGUGAAGUCCCACAGCUUAACUGUGGGAAUUGCUGGAGAUACUAUCAUGACUCGAGGCCGGGAGAGGCUGGAGGUACUCCCAGGGUAGGGGUGAAAUCCUAUAAUCCUGGGAGGACCACCUGUGGCGAAGGCGUCCAGCUGGAACGGACCUGACGGUGAGGGACGAAAGCCAGGGGCGCGAACCGGAUUAGAUACCCGGGUAGUCCUGGCCGUAAACGAUGCGGACUUGGUGUUGGGACGGCUUUGAGCUGUCCCAGUGCCGAAGGGAAACUGUUAAGUCCGCCGCCUGGGAAGUACGGCCGCAAGGCUGAAACUUAAAGGAAUUGACGG